rnacentral:sRNA from 1 species
AGCCUCGCUGCCGCCUUGCAGUUUGAUCUCAGACUGCUGUGCUAGCCAUCAGCGAGACUCCGUGGGCGUAGGACCCUCCGAGCCAGGUGCGGGAUGUAAUCUCGUGGUGCGCCGCUUUUUAAGCCCGUCGGAAAAGCGCAGUAUUCGGGUGGGAGGGACCCGAUUUUCCAGGUGCCGUCUGUCACCCCUUUCUUUGACUAGGAAAGGGAACUCCCUGACCCCUUGUGCUUCCCGAGUGAGGCAAUGCCUCGCCCUGCUUUGGCUUGCGCACGGUGCGCGCACCCACUGACCUGCGCCCACUGUCUGGCACUCCCUAGUGAGAUGAACCCGGUACCUCAGAUGGAAAUGCAGAAAUCACCUGUCUCUGCGUCGCUCACGCUGGGAGCUGUAGACCGGAGCUGUUCCUAUUCGGCCAUCUUGGCUUCUCCGGCAAUUCUUAAAAACAGUAGAAUCUCAACAUUUGCAGAAAAUCAUUGUUAAAGGCACUUUGGAAAGACAUGAGACAGGAGAAAGAGCACGAAUUAUUCUUAAUUGUUGUGAUGAUUCACAGCUUGUGAAG